CACUGAACUGAAGUAUCCAACCUACUUCAUUUCUGCUCCUUCGGUUCUUGCACAGAUCCUGAUGUUCUGCUCUGUUUUGCAUCAGCAACUCCUAUCCCAAUUCAAUGGCCAUUAUGCCCUUCUAUUCUGCCCUCCCUCCCUUCUUCGUACCUCGUAAUUACUCCUUCCUUUCCUGUCCUUUCUGAAUCAGCUCCUUUCUCUCUCCUCCACUCUCCCCCAUCUCCUCCCAAACCCCACACACAACACUACGACAGCACUUGCAGCGUCAAUCGAAGCCCAAAGCCACCGUGAAAAUGGACAAUAGUAGCAGCAGAGCCGAAGCCGAACGGUGGCUCUACACCGCCAAUAAGCUCCUCAGCGCCAGUGAUCUGCACGGCGCUAGGUCUUUUGCAGUUCGAGCUCGCGAGUCUGAUCCUACAUUUGACGCCUCGGAGUUGCUCCUCGCUGUCCUCGACACCCUCCUCGCUGGCGAGAAUCGGAUCAAUGGCCUCCAUGACUGGUAUAGCAUCCUCCAGAUUCUGCCUUACACUCAUAACAUCGAGUACAUCGCUUCGCAGUACCGUCGUCUCGCUCUCCUCCUCGACCCUCACCGUAACCCUUUUGCGUUCUCUAGCCACGCGUUCACACUCGUUCAUGACGCGUGGUCUGUACUCUCCAGUCCCGCAAAGAAGGCUAUGUACGACAACGAGCUGCGUAUGGUCACCGGCCCACCUCCUACAGCCCCUCCCCCACAACCUGCUCCGGUGGCAACGGUGCAAGCGCCGAACCCGGUUCCGACUUCGAAUCCGAUUCCGACUCCCAAUCCACCCCUUGUCCAGCGGCCACCACAGCAGCAGCGAAGUCCGGCAAGGCGGGGCCCAAGGUCGAAAGAUGGGAAGGCGGCUGCCGGCGAGCGUAGGCCGAGCCCUAACAUUGCCACGACGGAGCCGACCCCACAAGCUCGGACGAGUGACCCAGUGGUGUCGGAGACGGGUUCGAGUUUCUGGACGGCGUGCCCAUAUUGUUACGUUAUGUACGAGUACCCGGAGUUGUACGAGGACUGUACCCUAAGGUGCCAGAGCUGUAGAAGGGGAUUCCAUGCGGUGAGGGUACGGACGCCGCCGGUGGCGGGGAAAGAUUCGUAUUAUUGCUGUUGGGGGUUUUUCCCGUUAGGGUUUUCUGGGGAUUUCAGACACAUAAGUGGGACUAAUUCCAAGUGGAACCCAUUCUCUGCAACGUUUGCAUGCCCUUUGAGAGGAGGAGGAGGAGGAGGAGGAGGAGGAGGAGCAUCUAACAAGGGUUCUCGGAGAGGUCCUUGGGUUUUUCAUGAUGAUGAAGCUGCUGCUGCAUUCAUUGAACUUUCUGAUCCAAGUGAUGAUGAUUCUGAUGAUGCUGAUUGGGGAGCGAGGAGCGAGAGGGCAAAGAAGAGGGCUAAGAACAAAGGAAAAACCUCUGGUAAUGCUAGUGGUGAAGUUAGAAGAGCUUUUUCUGAAAGAACUAGGAGAGGGAGCCAGAGUGGGUCAGGACAUGCCAAUUUAGAAAAUGGCGUGGUCGGAGACGGUGGGUCUGGUGUGCCUAAUACUGUGAGGGCAGAAUUGAGUAAAAAAGCCGCGAAUAGCUCUAGAAGAAGGGGUGCAGGGAAUCUGGGGAAAUUGGAUUUGAAUGUGGAGUUCAGCAAUGAGGUGGAAGAGCCAGCCCCAGCAGUGAGAGAUGGUAAUGUAGCUGGAAAUGCUGAGGAAAAUAUAGAAGGGAAUGCAUUUUUUGAAGGUCUUGAUGAAUUCCUCAAUAGCUUGCCCAUCCUCAAUGUUGUAGCAGAUGACAAGUUUGAAUGGAGACCUGUGCUUGUGUGAGUGAAUCGCAAAGAGAGGACCAAUGCUGUUUGUGCCGCCAACGUUCCCUGUACACCAUGUAAGCUUUCUUGAUGAUGAAUCAUUGAGCCCAGAAUUGCUUAAAAGAUUUUCUUUGCUACAAUCACUUGAUGCGAAACUUGCUGCUUCCCUGAGUUGUUUCAGAGCGUGAAAGAAGCUACACCAUCCAGAAUCCAGAUCUUAGUUUGAACACGUAUGAACCAUCGUUCUGAGCUUGGUAUUGAAAUGGGUAUAACGACUGAGAUCUUUUGGAUUCUGAUUUAACUUAGCUGUUGUUCUCUUGCACGGCUCCUACCAUGGCCAUGUAUAUUGGGGGAAAAAAAAAGAAGCAAAGAAAUGGGUAUAACGACAAGAUUCGAAUUGAGCGAUUUAACUCUGAAAAUGUGAUGCAAACUUGGAAUCAGAGUAAGGUGCCUCUUAGAAUUCAUGAAACUGAGGGAGAAGCUGGUUAUGAAUUCGAUUUAUUUUUUAUUACACAUAAAUAUAUUUUUAUUGAAACAAUCCCAUUUUAAUUACAAAAAUCGUAGUUUGUUUCGUUGGAUCCAAA